AGAGAGAGAGAGAGAGAGAGUUAACAGACUGUCAAAUGUGUGAUUUGAUGAUGUGUUUAUGGCAGCGGUAGUUCUUGUAAUGAAAAGAUAUAUUACUUUGAAAAAUGUUUAAAGUUUUGAUUUCACACCAUCUGUUAAAUCUUACUGAUUGAAUGAAACAACAGUGAUAUGUAGGCAUCUGUGUGUUAAGGCAUAUAGGGAAGUAAAUGUAAUUCAUCCAAAAAAAGAAAACAACAGGAAAGUAAACCAGUAAAAACAAUAGUGCUUGAACCCUACACGCAAUACACAGGUGGGGAGAAAUUAUAAGACAUUGAAGAACAAUUAAAAAAAAAAUCUGCCAAGUACAUCUAACCUGCCAUAAGUUACUGAAUAAUCAUAUACAGGUAGAUGAUUACUAUUUAAAGGCUGAUUUGGUCAUCAGUUUGAUGUACAUAAUAAUCAAAAUUCUGUAUAAUUGCCACUGUUCUGUAGUAAUCAACUUAGAUGACAAUGUUUGUAUCAUCAAUGAUUAGAAUUCAGUUAAUAUUGCAAAUAUUAUUGAGGUGGGAACUGAGCUUAAGGAAAUAAAAGAGGCAAGGAAAUAAAUUAAAAACAAAUUCACAGUACCUCAAAAAGUGAAUAUCAUAAGGAGGCAGCUUUAAGGUUUCCAAGCUUGUUAA
rnacentral:misc_RNA from 1 species